rnacentral:rRNA from 1 species
CAGCUCUCCGAGUAGUGUGGACGAUUAUUGGGCUUAAAGCGUCCGUAGCCUGCUUAGCAAGUCUCCUGUUAAAUUCAGCGACCUAAUCGUUGAGCCGCGGGAGAUACUACUAGGCUAGGAGGCGGGAGAGGUCGACGGUACUUCUGGGGUAGGGGUGAAAUCCUAUAAUCCCGGGAGGACCACCAGUGGCGAAGGCUGUCGACUAGAACGCGCUAGACGGUGAGGGACGAAAGCUGGGGGAGCGAACCGGAUUAGAUACCCGGUAGUCC